UACAAGUCAAUGUUAGUUAUUAGAUUCCCUAUUGUGCAAUAAUAUAGAUCUUCUAUUCUUCCCUACUUACUCAACCCUUAGCUAAUCAGGCAACAUUGAUUUGGGGGGGCACCGCCUCAUAAAUAAGAGCUCAGCAUGUCACGAGGAUAGAAAGUAGGAUCCUGCCAGGUGCUGAUUGCUUCCACUCCUAUGGGAUACAGUGUUACAUUUAAAGAGAUAGCGCAGCACUGCGGAUGAGCCAGACACAGACUCACAGAUCGAACCUUCAACAGUCCCUGGCAAGAUGCUCAAGUAUAGGGCGCACAAAAGAGGCAUGUCCCCUACAGAAAGAAAGAGGCAACUGCUUCAAAUCAAAUCCGUAAAACACCAUCCUCCUCUGCCUUUUCUGCUUGUGUUCUGCUGCCUGAGUGCCCUGCACCUUUCCUCAGGAUUUCCCCAGUCAGCAGCACACUAUGUGGAUGAAUUGGAUAUUCCAGAAAGUGAGAGACUAGCAUUCUGCUUCAGUCAGUGGACAGCGCUGUCAGAUCAACCCCAGAUCUCAAAUUUCGUCAUGGACCUUUGUAGCUCCAUAAUCAACAGAAUGAAAGUCAACGCGGUAAGAACAAUGGUUCCAAUUUUGUUGGUGAGAAUAACCAAGAAGUAUACAAAAGAUUUCUGUUUCACUACUCCAGAGCACAAGAUCCUGCCCUCAAAACUGGGGAGUCUCACAUAACCACAGAAGAGUUUACCAAAAAGGAUAGCUCUGGUUCUAUGGCAAGACCUUUUUUCCUUUUCAGGCCUAGAAAUGGAAGAAAAGUUUCUAUAGAAGAACAGUAAUACUUCGAUACUUCUCAAAAGAAUUACGGAGGAUGUCCUGCAGGGAUUGACCGAAGACAUUUUCUUUUUAACAGCAAAUCAUAAUCACCAACAUGGCAUUAGUUUAACAGCUUUAACAGUAUAUAGUAAUUCAAUGGCAUUUUCCCUUUUUUAACAAAAUGACAGCCCCUCUUAUAACAAGGAGCAAUUCUAAUAACACUAUAUUAGGGAAUAUGGCUACACAGUGGAGCUUGGUUUUAACAUAAUGGUACAGCUUCAUCUUCUGUUUCAUAAUAAAACAAACAUAAUAAAAUAUAAAACUA